GGAUGUGAAGGCCAUCUGGCUAUGACAUAUGUCACCCCACUGAUUGUUAAGGUUGAUUUGGCUAACUUGGCUGGCUAGGCAGGUGUUCCCUUCCUCCCUCACUGGCGCACAUGUGUCCCUCCCAAAGCUGCAUGCUUGGUCAGAGAGGAUGACCUUCCUUUGCUGAAUAGAGACGGACCAGUCUUCAGUGGAGGGGAUACGAGUAGCUGCACUCCUCUGCUAGAACCUCCAGCAAGUUCUCAAAAUGGUUCUUGGGAAAGUGUGAUGAGAGCAGACAUUUGCAAGAGAGAAGGACAGCCCCAGGACGAGGGAUCUAUCACUU
rnacentral:snRNA from 1 species